GUGGGGCGCCCGCACGGGGCUGCUCUCCGCCGAGCGGCUGCGCUGAAUGAGGGAACCGGAGGAGCCGCCGCCGCCAGGAGCACGACCGAUUGUGUGUCUGAUCUCUGAUGCCUCCGGUCCCCGGCACAGAGUAGAUGCGCGGGAUGGGGCCUAAAGACAGCCCUGCUUGGAGCUGCCUUCUCCAGAGCACCUGCGAUCUCCCGGCCAGACCUCCCGAUUCUGAGCACACAGCGGAACUGGCCCCGGCCCUGCACCUGGCAUCUCCCAGAGCCUUGUGCGUGCAUGCCCCCGACGUGGGACAGUCCAGUGGAACGCGGCACAGCCCCUGAGCCCUCUGGCAUCACCUCCUUGGCUCUCCCCAGUCCUCUGAGGGAGCACAGACCCCAUUCAGCACCCAGGGUGAGUGUUGGAGCCACUUCCUGGAUCAGAGGUCAGCCUCUACCCCACACAGAGGAGCCAGGCCUGGCCAGUGGCCUUCUGCCUAUUCUGACACCCCAUGUUUGCCAGAAGAAGAUAACCAAAAUACCAUGAGACAUGCUGUGGACCCUCACCCUGGCAUUUAUGAUGCAACCACCAUCUGGCCCCUCCCUGCCCGUCCUGCCUUGUCCCCCAGUCCUCCCACACAAGAAGGUGCCAUGGCAGCCUGACCAGGUCCACCCAGGGCCCCCAACAUGCCCGCCCCUGUGCCCACUUUAGGGUCCCUGCUGCCCUGGCUCCUGUUCUCCCCAUCACUGUCUGAGCGUCCUGGUCCUCAGGGCUCACCCCCCACACGGAGCCUGCCCUGACCACAGGACAUCCCCUGCUGCCCUCAUCCCCUUUCAGCAGCUCCUUCGCUGACUUCCAGGAGCCCUCUCCCCAGGUGUUCCACGCUCUGACCCCUUCAUCUCACUCUUUUUCAAGGGCUCCCUUUCCUUUCACCCCUCCCCUCCCAGAUGUGAAUGUUUCCCAGCUCUGCCUUCACCCUUGGCUCUCCCCACCCUCUUGGGUGUCCUCUUGGGUGACAUCAUCCACUCCUGUGGACUACAAGACCCCCAAAUC